rnacentral:piRNA from 1 species
UUCACUGCUUCAGGUUGUCUGUCUGGAAUUU